CUACUGGUUCUUCUCAGAACCACUGGGAUUCUCAAUUAAAUUUUA
rfam:Heterocephalus glaber contig187101, whole genome shotgun sequence.